CCUUGCGCUGAUUGAGCGGCCGAUAUCAGAUUAGCUAGUUGGUGGGGUAAAAGGCCUACCAAGGCUACGAUCUGUAGCGGGUCUGAGAGGAUGAUCCGCCACACUGGAACUGAGACACGGUCCAGACUCCUACGGGAGGCAGCAGUGGGGAAUUUUGGACAAUGGGGGCAACCCUGAUCCAGCCAUGCCGCGUGAGUGAAGAAGGCCUUCGGGUUGUAAAAGCUCUUUCGGCCGGGAAGAAAUCGCAUAGGCUAAUACCCUGUGUGGAUGACGGUACCGGAAUAAGAAGCAACCGGCUAACUACGUGCCAGCAGCCGCGGUAAUACGUAGGGUGCGAGCGUUAAUCGGAAUUACUGGGCGUAAAGCGUGCGCAGGCGGUUUAGUAAGACAGGCGUGAAAUCCCCGGGCUCAACCUGGGAACUGCGCUUGUGACUGCUAAGCUAGAGUACGGCAGAGGGGGUGGAAUUCCACGUGUAGCAGUGAAAUGCGUAGAGAUGUGGAGGAACACCGAUGGCGAAGGC
rnacentral:rRNA from 1 species